ACUUGGGAUUUCUGCAGGCUGAAACAACGGUCUGCUGUCCUUAAAUGCAUUAGCAAAGCUUUUGUUGCUGAACUAUUGGUGUGAUAACUAUCAUCGCCGUUGGUGCAGCAUGCCUUUUGAAGCUUGGCUUCUAAUCGUCUUUAGUGACAUUACUUUGACAAUCUGACCUCAAAUCAGGUAGGACUACCCGCUGAACUUAA
rnacentral:misc_RNA from 1 species